CCAAAAUAUGAUGAUCAAAAAAUACAAGAGUCAAGCACUGAUGUGCAAAAAGCACUGUGUUGAGUUAUUCGGUCUGAUUUUGG